UACGUAGGGUGCGAGCGUUGUCCGGAAUUACUGGGCGUAAAGCGUGCGCAGGCGGCUUUGCAAGACAGAUGUGAAAUCCCCGGGCUUAACCUGGGAACUGCAUUUGUGACUGCAUGGCUGGAGUGCGGCAGAGGGGGAUGGAAUUCCGCGUGUAGCAGUGAAAUGCGUAGAUAUGCGGAGGAACACCGAUGGCGAAGGCAGUCCCCUGGGCCUGCACUGACGCUCAUGCACGAAAGCGUGGGGAGCAAACAGG
rnacentral:rRNA from 1 species